ACAACGUUUGAGUUCCUGCCUGCUCUUGUUCCAUGGAAUACACGUGGGCUCAUGGAGAAGGACUUGAUGAGCUGAUUGUUCUUGCAGUGGUCCUGGAUGUAGCUGCAGAAGACUAUUACUUGACUCUUUCACCUGCCAUUGCCUCACUCCAGAGGAAGGCAGAUUUUGAAGAAAAACUGAUAAGUUUUACAUUGACAGAACAAAGAUGAAAAGAGGAAUUACGUGAUUCAAGCCUGUCUUGCAUCAUCAUCUACACUGGACAAUUAAUGAGCACUUGCGAAAGCAUUAAGAGGUUUGAAUGCAUUGAUGUGGACUUUCAUAUCUUUUUCCUGUGUUCACUUAAUAAAACUCACAUUAGAUCAUAGACCCUACA
rnacentral:lncRNA from 1 species